UACGGGGGGAGCAAGCGUUGUUCGGAUUUACUGGGCGUAAAGGGCGCGUAGGCGGUCAGCACAAGUCAGUUGUGAAAUCUCCGGGCUUAACUCGGAAAGGUCAACUGAUACUGUGCGACUAGAGUGCAGAAGGGGCAACUGGAAUUCUCGGUGUAGCGGUGAAAUGCGUAGAUAUCAGGAGGAACACCGGUGGCGAAGGCGGGUCUCUGGGCCGAUACUGACGCUGAGGAGCGAAAGCGUGGGGAGCGAACAGG
rnacentral:rRNA from 1 species